rnacentral:lncRNA from 1 species
AUGUUUGUUUUGUUUAUUUUGAGGUGCAGUUUCACUCUUGUUGCCCAGGCUGGAGUGCAAUGGUGCGAUCGUGGCUCACUGCAACCUCUGCCUCCUGGGUUCAAGCUAUUCUCCUGCCUCAGCCUCCUGUGUAGCUGGGAUUACAGACACCCACCACCACACCCAGGCUGUACAGGAGGCAUGGCACUGGCAUCUGCUUCUCAGGAGGCCUUCAAUAGCAUACAGUCAUAAAGGAAAGGGAAGUAGAAGCUUGCACAUGAAGUGGAAAAAGCAGGAACAAGCAAGAGUAGGGGGAGCUGCCACACACUUUUAACAGUACCAAGAGGAUGGUAUUAAACCAUUCUUGAGAAAUCCACCCCCGUGAUCUAAUCUCCUCUCACCAUGCCCUACCUCCAACAUUAAGUGUUGUAAUUCAACAUGAGAUUUGGGUGGGGAUACAUAUCCAAACCAUAGCAGCACUUAAUUAUAUAUAAUAUGAGGUAUAGAAUUUUGUAGAAAUGUCACCAAUUUAAGAAUAAUUAUGAAAGUUUCAUUUAAUUCCUACUUUGCUUCUAUUUUUUAUUAUAGUAGUUAAAUGCUAUUAAAUACUGUCUCUGAAUAUCUCACAAUAAUUUUCCACUUUUAUUCUGAGAUUGUGGUGAAUCACAUUAAGUAAUCUUCAAAUGUUGAACAACCAUUUCAAUCAUGGUACAAGACUAACUCGGUUGUAAUACAGUCAUGAUCUUUUUUGUAUGUCACUGGACACAAUUUGCUAAUUUUUCAUUUAUGUACCUGAUGUAGUUUGGUCUGUCAUUUUUCUUUUUCAGACUGUUUUUCCAUGUUUUAGUGUCAUGGUUAUGUUAACUCAUUUAAAAAAUUGUAGGAAUAGUUUACAUUUUUCUGUUCUUUAGAAGUGUUUGUGUAAGAUGUCUUGGAAUUUGGAAUAAUUGAGUAGUAAGUCAUUUGGUCCUGAACUUUUCUUGGAAAUGUUUUAAAUAAUUAAUGACUAUAGAAUUCUCAUUAGAACUAUAUAAGCCAAAACAAAAGAGUACAUAAUUUUUCAAAAGCAACUUCAGAAAUAAAAAUAAAAGUAAAAUAAAAUAAUUUGCCUACUAAGAAUUCCAUAUACCCCCAAAAUUUCUUUCUAAAAUAAAGAUAAAAUUGAUUUGUUAAAAUAAUCAAAGUACAAGAAAAAUUGUUACCAGAAACAAAAACCUACAUCUGCAUUAAAUGUUAAAGAAAGUUCUUAAUGAAGAAGGAAAGUGACACCAGAUGGAAACCUGGAGAUAUUUAUACAAAUAGAGAUAUAGAUAAACAGACAAUAGACAUAGGUACAUAAGUAUUAAGAAUGAGAAAAGUAAUAAAGGUAUGAAGCAAUAGACUUUUUCUUAUUUACCAUUUUAAAUGUAUGAUCAACAGUGUAUUAUAGGAUUAUAAAUAUUUAGAAGUAAAAGAACAAGAAGAGAGAAACAGAGGUAUGCUGUUAUAAGGUUCUGAAAUAUACAUGUAGUAGCAUUAUAUUUUUCAAAGCAGAAUAUGGUAAUUAUACACAUUGUCAUCCCAGCACUAGAAAUAAAAAGAUAUAGUACACAAACCAAUGGUACAGUCAAAAUUUUUGUGAAAUCACAUAAUUACAUAAUAAUGGGGUAUGGCACCCCCACAGCUUAAGAGAGCUACUGUCCUGAAUUUUGUUAUUAUUCCCUUGCUUUUUCAUAUAUUGAUUUUUGCCUGUUGUGGGAUUUUUUUUUGAAUUAUACUGUAUCCUUUCACUGUGAAUACUGAUUUUAUUCAAAUGAGGCUUGUGUUUGUAAUUUUAGGUCAUUCAUUUUAUUCAUCUGUAGUAUACUGAAUGCAUAAAUAAUGUACAAUUUAUUUAUCAAUUACACUGUCAAUGAGAAUUUAGGUAUUAUUGCUUUGUUUUGUUUUGCUCUUUUAAAUAAGCCUCAAGUGUCCAGUCAACAUUCUUGUGUCUUCUUUCAUAUACACUCAAGAGUUUCUUGGGGUUUUAAACCUAAAGGUGAAAUCUAUGUGUCUCUUAGUAUGCCCAUGUUCAAUAUUAUUAGGUAAUUUCAAAUUAUCUCCAAAGUAUCACAUGGAUUUUUAUUUAUUUCUUUUUUUUUAAAGACAGAGUUUUGCUCUGUUACCAGGCUGGAGUGUAAUGUUAUUAUCAUAGUUUACUGCAGACUUGAACUCCAGGGCUCAAGCAAUCCUCUUUCCUAGCUCUUAUUACUGGUGUGUGCUGUCAUAAAUAGUUAAUUUUUUCUAUUUUUGUGUAGUGACAAGAUCUUACUGUGUUGCCCAGGCUGGUCUUGAACUAGUGGUCUCAAGAAAUCUUCCAACCUUGGGCUUCCAAAAUGCUGAGAUUACUUGCAUGAGCCAUUGUGCCCAGCUAAUGCUAUGUUUUUAAACUCUUAUUCUUCCCAAUAUUGUGACUAAGAUAUUAUGUUUUGUUUUAAACUUGUAUUUUAUGAUUACUGAUAGGGUGAAGUGUAUUGAUUUGAACAUUGAUUAACAUCUGAUUCCCCAACAAAAGGCUAAGGAGUUUUUGUCAUUCGAUAACUUUAUUUUAGAUACUACUUCAGAUAAUUAUGAUCAAAACAAAAAGUACAUGUGGUCUGAUAUUUUAAAUAAUAUAGUUACAGACAAGGAGAAAAUUUAUAAGGUCUUUAUAAAGACUUAUGCAUCACAUAUCUCAUGUCUUAUUCCUGAACGUUGUCAUCACACCUAUUAGGGGAUGGGUCUUUACAGUCCAUUUAUAUCUGUUUUAAAAACUCCUAAACAUAAAUACAAUGUUUUUCGUUGCCGUCUGUAUUAGUUUAUUCUCACACUGUUAUAAAGAACUACCUGCGACUGGCUAAGUUAUGAAGAAAAGAGGUUUAAUUGACUCAUAGUUCCAUAGGCUGUACAGGAAGCAUGGAUAGGAGACCUUAGGAAACUUACAAUCAUGGUGGAAGGUGAAGGGAAAGCAAGCACAUCUUACCAUGGCAGAGCAGAAGAGAGAUAGAGGGAGAAGAAAGCCAUACAUUUUUAAACCAUCAAAUGUCAUGAGAACUCACUCACUGUCAUGAGAACAGCAAGGGGGAAGUUCACCCCAAUGAUCCAGCCACCUCCCACUAGGCCCCUUCCCUGACACAUGAGGAUUACAGUUCAACCUGAGAUUUGGGUAGGGACACAGAGCCAAACCAUAUCAUAGUCCUAAAAGUUUCAGUCACAAAUUUGAUGUAUUUCUGUUUUUACUUGGAAAAAGAGAAAAGACAGUGGAUCAGCAAACAUUACCUACUAGUUUUCUUUGGCUUCACAACAUAUGAAGUGGCUUGAAACAACACAGAUUCAUUCUCUUCCAAUUUCAGUAGCUCUGAAACUCAGUAUUGGACCACUGGGUUCUCUGUUCAAGGUUUCGCCAGAAUAACUAUGUGGUGUAGCAGUUUCUUCCUCAAACUCCACUUUCUUAUAUUUUAUACAUGAUCUCUUUGAUCUUCCAACAUCAUUGGCAUAUCAAGUCUUUCUUGUGUUUUUAACUUCCCUCCACACUAGCUGAAAAAGUUCUCUGUCUUAAAGUUUCAGGUGAUUAUAUGAAAUUCACCUAAAUAGUCUAUUUUUGGCUAUUUAAUGUAUUGUGAUCAUGAAGGUUACACAAGGUGGUUCUGCCCACUAUUAAUCUGCUUAAUCUAAGUAAUCUGGUUCUGCCAGAUUAAUUAUCUGAUUAAUACCAUUCAUGGAUGUGAAAACAUUAUGUUGAGAAAAACAUCUAUGCAUAUAUGAAUUGGGAAUGAACCUACGUACAUAAUUAAAUAUAUGGUACAGAAAAGGCAACUUGUUCACAAAGUAAACUUCCUUCCUUCCCCACCCAAUCUGACCUAAUAUAAUCCAUGAAUUCUCUCCACUUGGCCUCUAGGACAUUUAUUUAUUCACUUGUUUAUCAAGUAUAAACCACACUGCAUAUCAUAAAUAAAAUCAGUAGGAAAACUAAUAUCAUUUUAAAGGUUGCACUGGGAAACAUGUAGCUAGCUGUCUAAGGUAUCCAGGUCUGUUAGCUGGAUUAACCUACUUGAAGUAUGACCUUAUCAUCCUUCAAUUAUCAUUUCAAUUUCCACCUAGCAUGCAACACGGAAAGCUUCAUUUUAACAAAAAGUACAAUCCAAAGUUAAAUUUUCUGCAUCAACAACCACGCUCCUCAGUAAUUAGUAACCUUACAUAACAAAAGAUAACUCCGAGUACAGAUUUCUUGCUGCAUGGAAGUUGUAUGUUUCUGAAUGUAAUGGAGGAGUGGCAAAAUAAGAUGUUUGAGAUUAUAUCUUAGUUACUUCACAUUUCUCUCAUGUGACAGCUCUACUUACAAUAAUUUAUAAACACAAGCAUUCUUACUGAUUAACAAGUGUGAGAAAUUAAGAAUUUUAAAACUGAAAACUGAGAACCUGGGUAGCUCUAUAAGUUUCUUUAAAAACAAGACUUAACUACUAUAUUUUUAUGCAAAGUAUUUAAUAGCUUUCAGUUUAUAG